UACAGAGGGGGCAAGCGUUGUUCGGAAUUACUGGGCGUAAAGGGCGCGUAGGCGGCCGCCUAAGUCAGACGUGAAAUCCCUCGGCCCAACCGGGGAACUGCGUCUGAUACUGGGUGGCUUGAAUUCGGGAGAGGGAUGCGGAAUUCCAGGUGUAGUGGUGAAAUGCGUAGAUAUCGGGAGGAACACCAGUGGCGAAGGCGACUUCCUGGCCUGUUCUUGACGCUGAGGCGCGAAAGCUAGGGUAGCAAACGGG
rnacentral:rRNA from 1 species